rnacentral:misc_RNA from 1 species
UGUGUAUCUAAGUAAAAGUGUGAGGGCUUUUCUUUUGGGUGUCAUGAAAGUGUGAGCAUGUGAAGAGUGGAAGUGAGGUAGUGAGAAAUACUCUAGUGUAGUGCUUAAAGUAUGAGCUGAGUUGUAAAAUAUCACUUUAGUUCUCUUUCAAUAAAAGUUUUCAUCGCUUAAGUCCUUCUUAUCUCUGAGUUUCUUAUUUCUUUUUUGCCUCCAAUUUUUCAAUAGUUUGCUAUCAGAGCUUGAUAGUCUGGGAUCAUUGAUUAGAGUAUUACGUGAGGUGCUGCUCAAAGUUCUACUCGUGUACAGUCCGGCACUAUGAAGCUUAUUGAUCAAGGAUCACACUUACUUGGUAUUAUAAGUGAGAUUAUACCAAAUCACGAUGGCAAAUUUAGUUGGCAUUGUGGGGAGCAUUAAGAAGUUGA